GGGACAUCGGAGCCGUCGGUGAUAUUGGAGGAAUCAAUCUAGCCGACCAUCCUUUGAAUGACACAGUUUUGCUACCUCCCACUGAUAACCUUUAGGAGCUAUGGAGAGGAGGGUUAGGAGGGAAGCGAGCCAGCGGCGUGAAGAGAAAAUGUUAGGGUCACAAUAGCAAACAAGUUCAUCUUGCCUGGGUUGCGCUGAUAAGAAAGAAGAUAGAGCUUCAGGUGAGGCAUAUCGUCCCUAGGAAUUUGUUGGUAUCGAGGAUUGUUCCAGGAAGCACUUCUGAUGACAACAUGAUGUUGGGCCUCGGGGACAUGGUAACCAACAGAAACAUAUUGAAGCACAUUGUUGUCAUCAUCCACUUAGUGCCCGCCGGGUCACGCUCAGCAGCAACGGUGCACGGCGAUGG